AGUGAACGCUGGCGGUAGGCCUAACACAUGCAAGUCGAACGACAGCACAGAGGAGCUUGCUCCUUGGGUGGCGAGUGGCGGACGGGUGAGGAAUACAUCAGAAUCUACUCUGUCGUGGGGGAUAACGUAGGGAAACUUACGCUAAUACCGCAUACGACCUACGGGUGAAAGCAGGGGAUCUUCGGACCUUGCGCGAUUGAAUGAGCCGAUGUCGGAUUAGCUAGUUGGCGGGGUAAAGGCCCACCAAGGCGACGAUCCGUAGCUGGUCUGAGAGGAUGAUCAGCCACACUGGAACUGAGACACGGUCCAGACUCCUACGGGAGGCAGCAGUGGGGAAUAUUGGACAAUGGGCGCAAGCCUGAUCCAGCCAUACCGCGUGGGUGAAGAAGGCCUUCGGGUUGUAAAGCCCUUUUGUUGGGAAAGAAAUCCAGCUGGCUAAUACCCGGUUGGGAUGACGGUACCCAAAGAAUAAGCACCGGCUAACUUCGUGCCAGCAGCCGCGGUAA
rnacentral:rRNA from 1 species